rnacentral:rRNA from 1 species
AUUGAACGCUGGCGGCAGGCCUAACACAUGCAAGUCGAACGGUAACAGGAAGAAGCUUGCUUCUUUGCUGACGAGUGGCGGACGGGUGAGUAAUGUCUGGGAAACUGCCUGAUGGAGGGGGAUAACUACUGGAAACGGUAGCUAAUACCGCAUAACGUCGCAAGACCAAAGAGGGGGACCUUCGGGCCUCUUGCCAUCGGAUGUGCCCAGAUGGGAUUAGCUUGUUGGUGGGGUAACGGCUCACCAAGGCGACGAUCCCUAGCUGGUCUGAGAGGAUGACCAGCCACACUGGAACUGAGAAACGGUCCAGACUCCUACGGGAGGCAGCAGUGGGGAAUAUUGCACAAUGGGCGCAAGCCUGAUGCAGCCAUGCCGCGUGUAUGAAGAAGGCCUUCGGGUUGUAAAGUACUUUCAGCGGGGAGGAAGGGAGUAAAGUUAAUACCUUUGCUCAUUGACGUUACCCGCAGAAGAAGCACCGGCUAACUCCGUGCCAGCAGCCGCCGUAA